rnacentral:lncRNA from 1 species
GCAAGCACGUCGCAGGCCACCUGCAAACAGGACCCGCUGGAGGCCUGAGACUUUCUGUGGGACGGGGCUGACUGACUUAGUCACGGGACACCUGCAGCUUCCCCACAGAAAGCAGCAAACAGCCCUUCUUCCAGUGAUGUCCGGGCGCCCCGGUUCGCUCAGGUGCAUCUGAGGGGGAAGGGUGGCCGUCGCAGACCGAGGGGCGCCCCCUAACCCAGCCGUCCCGAGUCCCUCUCCAGAGGAGUCCCGCCACCUCCCCAACUUCCAGCCACGGCGUGGCGGGCCCGCCGGGCGGCCGAGGGCUCCACGUGCGCGCCCCGGCCACUCACCCGGGCCCCGGCGGCGCUCCGCUUCCUCCGCAGCGUGAGCCCGCUCCGCAGCAGCGCAGGCAGGUCCCUGAGGCGCGGCCGCA